CGCGUGAGGGAUGACGGCCUUCGGGUUGUAAACCUCUUUCAGCAGGGAAGAAGCGAGAGUGACGGUACCUGCAGAAGAAGCGCCGGCUAACUACGUGCCAGCAGCCGCGGUAAUACGUAGGGCGCAAGCGUUGUCCGGAAUUAUUGGGCGUAAAGAGCUCGUAGGCGGCUUGUCGCGUCGAUUGUGAAAGCCCGGGGCUUAACUCCGGGUCUGCAGUCGAUACGGGCAGGCUAGAGUGUGGUAGGGGAGAUCGGAAUUCCUGGUGUAGCGGUGAAAUGCGCAGAUAUCAGGAGGAACACCGGUGGCGAAGGCGGAUCUCUGGGCCAUUACUGACGCUGAGGAGCGAAAGCGUGGGGAGCGAACAGGAUUAGAUACCCUGGUAGUCCACGCCGUAAACGGUGGGCACUAGGUGUUGGCGACAUUCCACGUCGUCGGUGCCGCAGCUAACGCAUUAAGUGCCCCGCCUGGGGAGUACGGCCGCAAGGCUAAAACUCAAAGGAAUUGACGGGGGCCCGCACAAGCGGCGGAGCAUGUGGCUUAAUUCGACGCAACGCGAAGAACCUUACCAAGGCUUGACAUACACCGGAAA
rnacentral:rRNA from 1 species